rnacentral:lncRNA from 1 species
CCAUGGGGUUGGGGACAUCUCCAUGGGUUGGGGACAUCGCCAUGGGGUUGGGGACAUCCCAUGGCUUGGGGACACCGCAUGGAAUUUGGGGACACCCCAGGGGAUUUGGGGACAACAAGUGGAUCUGGGGAGGCCCAAUGGGAGUCGGGGUCACCCCAUGGGUUUUGGGGUCACCCCAUGGGAUCUGGGGAGGCCCAAUGGGAUUCAGAGUCACCCCAUGGGAUUUGGGGUCACCCCAUGGGAUUCGGGGGCACCCCAUGGGAUUCAGGGUCACCCCAUGGGAUCUGGGGACACCCCAUGGGACUUGGGGUCACCCCAUGGGAUUCGGGGUCACCCCAUGGGAUUUGGGGGCACCCCAUGGGAUUCGGGGUCGCCCCAUGGGAUUUGGGGUCACCCCAUGGGAUUCAGGGUCACCCCAUGGGAUUUGGGGUCGCCCCGUGGGGUUUUGGGGUCGCCCCGUGGGGUUUUGGGGCGCUGUGGGUCCCACCUUGUGCGGGCCGCAGGACGACGACGUAGUCGCGGGUGCCGCACUCCUGCGCCUUCCUGAACUCGGCCUCGCUGCGGGGACGGGGGGGGG